GACAUGCUUACUGAGCUUUCAAGAAGGGAGAAAGAAGCCAACAUUAAACCAGAUCCUGAUGUCGAUGUUUACAUGAAGGCUAUCUCCGUGGAAGGUCAGGAGAGCGUGGUUACAGAUUACAUCCUCAAGAUUCUGGGUCUGGAGAUCUGUGCGGAUACAAUGGUUGGAGACUCUAUGAUCAGAGGUAUCUUAGGAGG